CUUAGGUUUUUCCUUAUAUGAUUCAAAUACUUGUGUACUUUUUUUUUUAAAUUUAUUUAUCAGCGGAAUCCAUUAACAUAGUAAUUAUAGAAAUAUAUAAUACAUUACAUCUAAGUUUAGUGAAAAGGAUCACACUCCAUAUCACAGUAAGCAGUAAGUACAUCAUUUAACACAAACUAAUGAGACCAUGAUUGAAGAAAGAACAAUUUAUAAAAUUUACUAUAUUAACUCAACAUAUAUAAACAACAUAUAUAAACUCAUAUAUACAACGCGCGGUCGCACGGUAUUCUUACUCCGGAUAUUCUGACAAAUUGUGAUAGUUUUAUUCCCAAUAACACAGGUUAUUUAGUGUCAUAAUGUGCAGCUUUUUUUCGCCGAUAUUAUAAAACUAUUAUUGUGUAUUAAUAUUAACCUCGAGUUACUAGAAAGUGGAUAAACAACUACCAAAAUCAUUUGCUUUUUGAAAUUUACUGCAAUUCCAACAAAAAAAAAGGAAUGCAAUGAUAAAAAGACCAACGGACGAACUUACGCGCAGUUUUCGCAUGUACCAAUUUUUGCAUGAUCUACGUUAUUUUCAUUUUCCUACGUUAUUUGGCGAAUCUGAAUCUUUCUUCAUAACUUAUAAUGUCUAACAUAUGUUCCUCCUGCUCUCAGGAUUGUGUGCUGAAAGAGCCAAAAAAUUCAAACGAUGUUUUUGGCUACCCAUGUGAUUUUUGUAAGAAGAUUUUAUGCAGGAAAUGUUCAGGAAUUAGUACCACUGAACUUCGGGCCAUCGUCAUGAGCAGCCGAGUUAUGCCUUAUAUAUGCAAAUUGUGCUUGCCAAAAUUAAAUGAAACCAUGCAACUAGUUAACCGUGUCACAGCUCUUGAGAUUGAAUUUACCGAAUUAAAAAGUAGUACACAGGGAAUUUUGGAUUCAGCCAAUCUUAUGAGGUCUUUUUCGAAUGACCUAAAAACAAUGAAAUCCCAAUUUUCAGCAAGUCUUGAGGACAUCAAAUCUCUAGUUAAAACGGAAAUAGAAGGCUUAAAGAAUGCAGCUAAGGAUAAUUCAAAUAGUUCUGCACAACCAAUUACAAGCCAAGCUCCAGAGGAAGAAGUUAUCCUGGAAUGGCAGGAGCGGCAGAAGAGAUCAAAGAAUCUAAUGCUCUUUAAUUUACCUGAGGGUGAGGACAAGAAAAAGGUCGAAGAACUAUUUAAACAUCUCACUGAAAAUCCCCCAGAGGUGUUACACUUUUCUCGGAUUGGUAAACCUAACGCAAAUCAGGCUCGGGCUUUAAGGAUAUCUCUCAAAUCACCAGAUGAUGUCAUGAAUUUUGUCAGGAAUCGCUUUAAACUUAAAGGAAAGAAUGUUUUCUUGAACUUUGAUCUCACCAUAAAGCAGAGGGAUGCUGAAAAGAAAUUGUCAGUUGAGCUUAGUAGCCGGAGAGCCCAGGGUGAAAAUGUAUCUAUUAGGUAUCGUAAUGGUACCCCAUACAUUUUUAAGAAAAAAAACUAAUAAACGGGCCUUCUACAACAAAGCAACCAUCCCAUAGACAGCAAAACCUAGAUAUUUACUACCAGAAUGUUCGAGGAUUGAGAACUAAGUUGUCAGUUCUCCAGAGUAACAUUAUCUCUAAUUGCUACUCCAUAAUUUUACUAAGUGAAACCUGGCUCUCGGCUGAUAUAUCGGAUGCAGAGCUUGGUUUGGAUAAGUACAAUGUCUUUAGGACUGACAGAAGUGCAAAAUCUAGCACCUCCUCAAGAGGUGGUGGAGUAUUGGUGGCGAUCUCAAAGGAACUAUCUAGUGCUGUAAUAAACUUGUCAACAGACCUUGAACUGCUAUUUGUUAGUGUAGGCUCUGGGCUAGGAAAGUUCAUAGUGGGCUGUAUUUAUUUCCCUCCAAAAUCACCUUCAGAAAAGUACAACAUGCUCAGCCAAGAGAUCGAUUCUUUCUCUGGGAAUCAGGAGUGCCCAUUACUACUGUUCGGGGACUUCAAUCUGCCAAAAGCAAUUUGGUCAUCAGACAACUUUUGUUCUCAAGCGACCAGUGCACUGGGUGCUUGCCCUCUGGAAGUCGAGUCCAUAGAAGUGAUAUCAGACUUAUGUAGUUUCCACAAUCUAUACCAAUUGAAUAAUAUUCCAAACCACCUGGGGAAUACACUGGAUCUGAUUUUUUGUGAGAGUACCUUGUCUGCAGAGGUCACGGCAGCUGAUGAUGCUCUGGUUCCACAGGACAAUUACCAUCCACCCCUCCUUACAUCCAUUACUGUUUCGAGAGGACAUACUAAUCAUCCAGCAAAAUUAGAUAGGAAAGAAAGUGCCAUAGAGGACUGCACCAAAGCAAUAGAAUUAAAUUCAACUUAUGUAAGAGCCUACUUAAGAAGAGCAAAAUUAUAUGAAGAUUCUGAUAAAUUGGAUGAAAGUUUAGAGGAUUUUAAAAAAU
rnacentral:misc_RNA from 1 species